GCCCGGCCGAGCCGCCGGCCAAACCGUCCAGCCCGCGGCGAACCAGGAGAUGCGCCCGACGCCGCGCCCUGGGCCCCGCGGCUCCCGCCUUACCGGGUUCCGGACUUGGUGUCCACCAGGACACCAAUGGGAACAUCGAUUAUUUUACGAAGGUGUUGACUAGAAUGUCAUAUUUGAAAGAGAUCUGCAUAGACUCAGAUGCAACCAGACACCUUUAAGAAACUAAAGUUGACUUUAUGAACAUGAAACCAAUAAAUCCCCUUGAAAAUGUUGGCUUGAUACCUGCUUUGAGUUCCCAGCAUCUUUACCAGGGACAACAACAGGACCCCAUAGACAUAUGAUUAUUUAAACAGCUGGAAAAUGGAAUGGAUUCCCCAACAAUUGUACAACUCAACUAGCACCUUGACCAAAUUUGUGUAGCUGGGAUGACAAAAUGGAUCCUUAAAAGCCUGAGCCUACCCCUACUCCAUUGGGUUAACUACGGACUUGUGGAGAAAAUAGAUGGUCUCAUUUUCCUUAUGACUGGAUUGGAUGAUGCACUUGGGGAUGCCCGAAUUCCUGGAUAAGUCUUCUCCCACUUGCCAGCGGUUCUUUACAAUCAGGAUGUUAAGGCUAGACUUCAAACAAAGAGGGCUUCUUGGGGCACUCUGGGUGGCUCAGUCGGUUAAGCUUCUGCUUUCGGCUCAGGUCAUGAUCCUGAAAUCCAGAGAUGCAGCCCCACGUCAGGCUCCUUGCUCAGCAAGGUGUCUGCUUCUCCCUCUC